AAGUCGUAACAAGGUUUCCGUAGGUGAACCUGCGGAAGGAUCAUUGUCGAAGCCUGCAUAGCAGAAAGACCCGUGAACUUGUCUCUACUUUGGGAUGCAUUGUAUGAGUCAUAGACUCUUCGGUGUCAUUCCUUACCAGGGGUGAGGGCUCGUCUUCCCUUUACGGGUGACGGACUCACAUCCCUGGUCAAACAACGAACCCCGGCGCAAACCGCGCCAAGGAAAUUCAACAAUGAGAUCACACCCCUAACUGCCGUUCGCGGUUUGUUUGUGGUGAUAAUCUUUCAUAAAUUAAAACGACUCUCGGCAACGGAUAUCUAGGCUCUCGCAUCGAUGAAGAACGUAGCAAAAUGCGAUACUUGGUGUGAAUUGCAGAAUCCCGUGAACCAUCGAGUUUUUGAACGCAAGUUGCGCCCAAAGCCACUAGGCCGAGGGCACGUCUGCCUGGGCGUCUCACAAUGCGUCGCUCCCCCCACACCUUGUGUGGGAGGGCGGAUAUUGGCUCCCCGUACGUGUUCGUGUGCGGACAGCCUAAAAUUGAGUCCUGGUGAUUGAUGCCGUGGCAAUUGGUGGUUGUCAAACCGUUUCAUUUUGUCACGUGCACUUUGUCUCUGUUGGUUGACUCUAUGACCCUGAAGCUCCACUUGAGUGGUGCCUCGAUCGCGACCCCAGGUCAGGCGGGAUU
rnacentral:rRNA from 1 species